GUCUACAGCCAUGCUACCCUGAACAAGUGUGAUACUGUCUGAUCUCGGAAGCUAAGCAGGGUCGGACCUAGUUAGUACUUGGAUGGGAGACCACCUAGGAAGACGAGGUGCUGUAGGCA
rnacentral:rRNA from 1 species